rnacentral:rRNA from 1 species
GACGAACGCUGGCGGCGUGCUUAACACAUGCAAGUCGAACGGAAAGGCCCUGCUUUUGUGGGGUGCUCGAGUGGCGAACGGGUGAGUAACACGUGAGUAACCUGCCCUUGACUUUGGGAUAACUUCAGGAAACUGGGGCUAAUACCGGAUAGGAGCUCCUGCUGCAUGGUGGGGGCUGGAAAGUUUCGGCGGUUGGGGAUGGACUCGCGGCUUAUCAGCCUGUUGGUGGGGUAGUGGCUUACCAAGGCUUUGACGGGUAGCCGGCCUGAGAGGGUGACCGGCCACAUUGGGACUGAGAUACGGCCCAGACUCCUACGGGAGGUAGCAGUGGGGAAUAUUGCACAAUGGGCGGAAGCAUGAUGCAGCAACGCCGCGUGGGGGAUGACGGCCUUCGGGUUGUAAUCCACUUUCGCCUGUGACGAAGCGUGAGUGACGGUAAUGGGUAAAGAAGCACCGGCUAACUACGUG